AUACGGAGGAUCCGAGCGUUAUCCGGAUUUAUUGGGCGUAAAGAGUGAGCAGGCGGUUAAUUAAGUCUGAGGUUAAAGCGUGGGGCUCAACCCCAUAAAGCCUUGGAAACUGAUUGACUAGAGUACGGGAGAAGUGAAGGGAACUCCAUGUGUAGCGGUGAAAUGCGUAGAUAUAUGGAAGAACACCAGUGGCGAAGGCGCUUCACUAGCCCGAAACUGACGCUCAGUCACGAAAGCGUGGGUAGCAAAUAGGAUUAGAUACCCUAGUAGUCCACGCUGUAAACGAUGACAACUAAAUAUUGCCGCGAGGCAGUGUUGAAGCUAACGCAUUAAGUUGUCCGCCUGGGGAGUACGGUCGCAAGACUGAAACUCAAAGGAAUUGACGGGG
rnacentral:rRNA from 1 species